GAUGAACGCUGGCGGCGUGCCUAAUACAUGCAAGUCGAGCGAACGGACGAGAAGCUUGCUUCUCUGAUGUUAGCGGCGGACGGGUGAGUAACACGUGGAUAACCUACCUAUAAGACUGGGAUAACUUCGGGAAACCGUAGCUAAUACCGGAUAAUAUUUUGAACCGCAUGGUUCAAAAGUGAAAGACGGUCUUGCUGUCACUUAUAGAUGGAUCCGCGCUGCAUUAGCUAGUUGGUAAGGUAACGGCUUACCAAGGCAACGAUGCAUAGCCGACCUGAGAGGGUGAUCGGCCACACUGGAACUGAGACACGGUCCAGACUCCUACGGGAGGCAGCAGUAGGGAAUCUUCCGCAAUGGGCGAAAGCCUGACGGAGCAACGCCGCGUGAGUGAUGAAGGUCUUCGGAUCGUAAAACUCUGUUAUUAGGGAAGAACAUAUGUGUAAGUAACUGUGCACAUCUUGACGGUACCUACUCAGAAAGCCACGGCUAACUACGUG
rnacentral:rRNA from 1 species